CCCCGUCUCCUCCCCGAACUCCCCCGUUCACUUUGUCGCCCCGCGCUACCUCGCUCGCACCAUGGUCUUCCGCAGGUUCGUCGAGAUCGGGCGCGUCGCCUUGAUCAACUAUGGCCCCCAGCAUGGCAAGCUCGUCGUCAUCGUCGACGUGAUUGACCAAAACAGGGCCCUUAUCGACUCCCCUGACAUGGUCCGCACCCAGAUCAACUUCAAGCGCUUGUCGCUUACCGAUAUUGUCAUCGAGAUCUCCAGGAUGCCUAACAAGAAGGCUCUCAAAGAGGCAAUUGAGAAGGGCGAG
rnacentral:lncRNA from 1 species